AACGAACGCUGGCGGCAGGCCUAACACAUGCAAGUCGAGCGCCCCGCAAGGGGAGCGGCGCACGGGUGAGUAACGCGUGGGAACAUGCCCAGAGGUCGGGAAUAACGGCGGGAAACUGCCGCUAAUACCCGGUAAGCCUUGAGAGGGAAAGGAGCAAUCCGCCUUUGGAGUGGCCCGCGUUGGAUUAGCCAGUUGGUGGGGUAAAAGCCUACCAAGGGCACGAUCCAUAGCUGAUCUGAGAGGAUGAUCAGCCACACUGGGACUGAGACACGGACCAGACUCCUACGGGAGGCAGCAGUGGGGAAGAUUGGGCAAAGGGCGCAAGCCUGGUCCAGCCAUGCCGCGUGAGUGACGAAGGUCUUGGGAUUGUAAAGCUCUUUUGGCGGGGACGGUAAUGACGGUACCCGCAGAAUAAGCCCCGGCUAACUUCGUGCCAGCCGCCGCAGUAACAC
rnacentral:rRNA from 1 species